rnacentral:rRNA from 1 species
GACGAACGCUGGCGGCGUGCCUAACACAUGCCAGUCGAACGGAAAGGCCCUGCUUUUGUGGGGUGCUCGAGUGGCGAACGGGUGAGUAACACGUGAGUAACCUGCCCUUGACUUUGGGAUAACUUCAGGAAACUGGGGCUAAUACCGGAUAGGAGCUCCUGCUGCAUGGUGGGGGUUGGAAAGUUUCGGCGGUUGGGGAUGGACUCGCGGCUUAUCAGCUUGUUGGUGGGGUAGUGGCUUACCAAGGCUUUGACGGGUAGCCGGCCUGAGAGGGUGACCGGCCACAUUGGGACUGAGAUACGGCCCAGACUCCUACGGGAGGCAGCAGUGGGGAAUAUUGCACAAUGGGCGGAAGCCUGAUGCAGCAACGCCGCGUGCGGGAUGACGGCCUUCGGGUUGUAAACCGCCUUCGCCUGUGACGAAGCGUGAGUGACGGUAAUGGGUAAAGAAGCACCGGCUAACUACGUG